rnacentral:rRNA from 1 species
UGAGGAAUAUUGGUCAAUGGACGCAAGUCUGAACCAGCCAAGUAGCGUGCAGGAUGACGGCCCUAUGGGUUGUAAACUGCUUUUAUGCGGGGAUAAAGUGCGUGACGUGUCAUGCAUUGCAGGUACCGCAUGAAUAAGGACCGGCUAAUUCCGUGCCAGCAGCCGCGGUAAUACGGAAGGUCCGGGCGUUAUCCGGAUUUAUUGGGUUUAAAGGGAGCGUAGGCCGCCAGAUAAGCGUGUUGUGAAAUGUACCGGCUCAACCGGUGAAUUGCAGCGCGAACUGUUUGGCUUGAGUGCACGGUAAGCAGGCGGAAUUCAUGGUGUAGCGGUGAAAUGCUUAGAUAUCAUGAGGAACUCCGAUUGCGAAGGCAGCUUGCUGCAGUGCGACUGACGCUGAGGCUCGAAGGUGCGGGUAUCAAACAGG